GACGAACGCCGGCGGCGUGCUUAACACAUGCAAGUCGAACGGACAGACAGAGAGCUUGCUCUCUUGAAGUUAGUGGCGAACGGGUGAGUAACGCGUAAUCAACCUGCCCUUCAGAGGGGGAUAACAACGGGAAACCGUUGCUAAUACCGCGUACGAUUCAUGAACGGCAUCGUUUAUGAAUGAAAGGUGGCCUCUAUGUAUAAGCUAUCGCUGAAGGAGGGGAUUGCGUCUGAUUAGCGAGUUGGAGGGGUAACGGCCCACCAAGGCAAUGAUCAGUAGCCGGUAUGAGAGGAUGAACGGCCACAUUGGGACUGAGACACGGCCCAAACUCCUACGGGAGGCAGCAGUGGGGAAUCUUCCGCAAUGGACGAAAGUCUGACGGAGCAACGCCGCGUGAGUGAUGAAGGUCUUCGGAUUGUAAAGCUCUGUUAAUCGGGACGAAAGAGUUCUGCGUGAAUAAUGCAGAAAAGUGACGGUACCGGAAUAGAAAGCCACGGCUAACUACGUGCCAGCCGCCGCCGUAA
rnacentral:rRNA from 1 species